rnacentral:rRNA from 1 species
UGGUAGUCCAUGCCGUAAACGUUGGGAACUAGAUGUAGGGCCUGUUCCACGGGUUCUGUGUCGUAGCUAACGCAUUAAGUUCCCCGCCUGGGGAGUACGGCCGCAAGGCUAAAACUCAAAGGAAUUGACGGGGGCCCGCACAAGCGGCGGAGCAUGCGGAUUAAUUCGAUGCAACGCGAAGAACCUUACCAAGGCUUGACAUAACCGAGAACGGGCGAGAGAUCGUCAACUCUUUGGACACUCGGUUACAGGUGGUGCAUGGUUGUCGUCAGCUCGUGUCGUGAGAUGUUCGGUUAAGUCCGGCAACGAGCGCAACCCUCGUCCUAUGUUGCCAGCACGUUAUGGUGGGAACUCAUGGGAUACUGCCGUGGUCAACACGGAGGAAGGUGGGGAUGACGUCAAAUCAUCAUGCCCCUUAUGUCUUGGGCUUCACGCAUGCUACAAUGGCCGAUACAAAGGGCUGCGAUACCGCGAGGUGGAGCGAAUCCCAAAAAGUCGGUCUCAGUUCGGAUUGGGGUCUGCAACUCGACCCCAUGAAGUCGGAGUCGCUAGUAAUCGCAGAUCAGCAACGCUGCGGUGAAUACGUUCCCGGGCCUUGUACACACCGCCCGUCAAGUCAUGAAAGUCGGUAACACCCGAAGCCGGUGGCCUAACCCUUUUGGGAGGGAGCUGUCGAAGGUGGGACUGGUGAUUAGGACUAAG